rnacentral:lncRNA from 10 species
CCGGCCGACCCCCGUGCGCCGCCGGCGGCCGCCAGCACGGCGCGGAGGUGGGCUAGCGGCGGCGGCGCACGAAAGGUCACCGCGGUGGCAUUCCUCUCCGCGCUGUUUACGUGACUUAAUGUACUCGCUGCGCCGCGGCCUGUUAUCUAGGCCACCCAAUGACCGACGAAAGAUUUUCCCUCCCUGCUUCUCCCGUGGCCGCUUUAAACCAAAUAAAUUUAGCUAUUAAGGGCCAAGAUGUCUGACAAAAGAUCGAAAGGUGUCUUUCCGUGAUCGCUUAAAGAAGCGAAGGAGAAGCUUGCGGCUCUCAAAUCCCGAUAAAGAAAUUCCGCGCCGGCGCCGGCCUCCCUCCCCGCGGCCUGGUUGCUCCCUGACGCCCUGAGACCCCGA